GUAGGGAGCAAGCGUUGUCCGGAUUUACUGGGUGUAAAGGGUGCGUAGGCGGCUUUGCAGGUCAGAUGUGAAAUCUAUGGGCUCAACCCAUAAACUGCAUUUGAAACUGUAGAGCUUGAGUGAAGCAGAGGCAGGCGGAAUUCCCCGUGUAGCGGUGAAAUGCGUAGAGAUGGGGAGGAACACCAGUGGCGAAGGCGGCCUGCUGGGCUUUAACUGACGCUGAGGCACNAAAGCGUGGGUAGCAAACAGGAUUAGAUACCCUGGUAGUCCACGCUGUAAACGAUGAUUACUAGGUGUGGGGGGUCUGACCCCUUCCGUGCCGGAGUUAACACAAUAAGUAAUCCACCUGGGGAGU
rnacentral:rRNA from 1 species